GAUGAACGCUGGCGGCGUGCCUAAUACAUGCAAGUAGAACGCUGAAGCUUGGUGCUUGCACCGAGCGGAUGAGUUGCGAACGGGUGAGUAACGCGUAGGUAACCUGCCUGGUAGCGGGGGAUAACUAUUGGAAACGAUAGCUAAUACCGCAUAACAGUCGAUAUCGCAUGAUGUUGAUUUGAAAGGGGCAAAUGCUCCACUACCAGAUGGACCUGCGUUGUAUUAGCUAGUUGGUGAGGUAACGGCUCACCAAGGCGACGAUACAUAGCCGACCUGAGAGGGUGAUCGGCCACACUGGGACUGAGACACGGCCCAGACUCCUACGGGAGGCAGCAGUAGGGAAUCUUCGGCAAUGGGGGCAACCCUGACCGAGCAACGCCGCGUGAGUGAAGAAGGUUUUCGGAUCGUAAAGCUCUGUUGUAAGAGAAGAACGAGUGUGAGAGUGGAAAGU
rnacentral:rRNA from 1 species